GUCUUGACGAUGAUUUUAAUAUAAAAUGUCUGAACUUAUGACUUUAUUCUGAUUCCGCUUUUUUACUGAGUCAAGAC